UCAAAUCCGAAACCUCAUGGAUAUUACUUGGGUUUUUAACCCACUGAGCCACAACGGGAACUCCAAGCUGUCCACUUUACACAUGUGCAACUUCUUGUGUGCCAGUUCCAGCUCCACAGAGCUGCCUAGAGAAACCCUGGCUCAGGGCAGCUCAGACCAAAAGAGGUACACUGGCAGAACAGAAUGUGUGUCUCCACACAGCCCGGCACAGCUGCAAAAGCUGCCCCCAGGCACGCCCAGGCACCGGCCACACCAGGUACUGUGACACCAAGCUCCACCCCCGUGAGCAUCACAAAACCCAGCCCCUCCCCCUCCGUCCCAAAGGGCAGGUGGGGGCCCAGCUCGGCUCUGCCUGGUUUCCAGCAGAUAAGGAAAUGGAGCGUGUGCAACGGGGAGGAGGGGAAGCCGGUGAACCAGCUGCGUCACCUCUGAGUCAAGGCACAGACUUCUGACACGCUUCCUCCUCCAGCUGCCGCAGAACGAAACCUGGGCCUACAAGCUCUGACCCAUGGCAGCGCCCCCCAGAGAUGCCCUCCUGUCUGCCCCAAGGCAGUCCCCUUGCCCACACACCCAUCCCUGCCCAGCUCAGCCAGGCCCAGAGCACAGGGGCCUCCUGCAUCCGGGGGUGUCCAGGAAUGGGAGGCCCUUACUUGCAGGUUUCUUUCCACACAGCUGGGCUCAGUUAUACUGGAUUCUGCGAAAUAGGAUCCUUAAUCUCAGGUGCAAAGCCAUGACCGCCCCCCCCCACUGCCCCCCAAAGGCAUCGUUGCAUGUGCUGGAGGGCUGAAUUAAUACUAGUGGAAUAACCCAAAAAGCAGGACCGCUGUUCAGCCUCACAGGUUGCGCACUGCACAAGUGCAGAGGGUGACAGGCCCAUGGUGACCUACCCGGGGUGGGGGUUAAACUUUAAUGUUACUAUAGAUCUUUACUAAAGACAAAAGGGUCAGGAACAAGCAGGCUUGUCCACAUCAGGGCCAGGAAUGACAGGUGUGGCCGUCAGGCUAAGCCAGGCAGAGGCCAGAGGGACCGGGCUCCAACCCCAGCUCAGCCAGGGACUACAGGUUCCCCUGAGGCAAGAGCCAUCAUUGCAUCACUUCCAACAGUAUGGAACCCAGGCAGGCACCGCAGAGCCCUGCAGUUUAGCAAGGAUCGCACAUCAUUAAUCGGAGAAUGAAAAUCCAGCUGGACUGAAGACUUCCAAGUCCCUCCCGGCUGGUGGCUCUGUGAUUCUCUGAGGCAAACCAGAGGGCCGCUGGGUAGAGGAUUUGGGGUGGGGGCGGGAGGGCAGCCAGGUGGGGCCGAUCCGACCUAAACACUCCACCAACAGAGAAACAAGCACACACCCUCUCCCAAUUCUGUUAUUUUUUUUCACCCGCCUCAGCUGGAACAAAGAGCUUUUUGUGAGUUUCGUGGAGCCUGACGGAACCCCUUUGCUGUCUCCUUCUCCUUCUGCGUGAGAAAAAAACAAACCGUUCCAUCCGGGUUCGCGAGGCUCCUUUGAAGGGCUUGCGGCUUUGGUUUAGGCAAACAGGAACCUGGCCGGGACACCUCCGCCCUGGCGGGGGCCACGGCCCACUUUCCAGAUGAGGAAUGCAGGCUCCCAGGGCCCCUGACCGACCAGGCCUUUGGACACGGCCCGAACCUCCCCAGCAGCUCGCCUGGCCCAGCUGCACACCGUGGGCCCUGGGGCCGCUCAGCCACCACCAUCACGAUCCUUUGCUGGAACUGCUACAGCCACCCAUGCCUCCUCCAUCCGUAUCAGAGCUAACGGGCUUCCAGUGACGGACCUGGCAGAAGAGGCGUGAUGGCAUUAGAAUCAUGGGCCAAAAGCCAUCAUUUUAAGCAAUGCGUGAAGGGGGGGAAGCAAUUGGUUGCAGAGAAAUUGUCUGGAGGGUUCCAGUCGCCCACCAACCCCAUGUGCGCUGGUAGGAACAGGGCGUCUCAGAAAGCAGACGUGAGCGGAGCACACCUGUGGCCUUCGCCCGUCACCUGCUCCGCUCCGCAGCCCAGAGGCCGGGAGUCCCAGGGAGAGUGUGUGGACCUGACACGUGCGCUGGCUGAUGUGAGGUCAAGGGUGUCUCCGGGGUUGCCUUGAGGAAGUAAUUGUGUCCCUCCAGUUAAACUAGCCGGGCUGGAGCUUGACUGCAGUAUUUACAGGCUGGGUGGCCCUGGAAACGGCGUUAAGCUCUCUGUGUGUCAGUUUCAUCCGCGCCGUGGCCGUGACACUCCCCGGGUUUCUGGGCGGAUUGAGUCGGGGUAAAGCCCUAGUAAAUGUUUGCCGUGGUUUCUGCAGGUGUCAGUGACUCAGCCUCGGGUUUGAAAAGGCUGGGGUUGCUCGUGCCUGGAGGGCCUGACUUUGACCGCUCAGACAGCUCCACCUCCAAGCUCCGGGUCACCCCCAUCUCCUGAGGCCGUGCCCCGCUCUCCUGAUAGGGGCGAGGUGGACACUCAGGGAGCCCUGUCAGCCAGAGGAACCGGUGACCCUCCCGGGACCCAGCCUGAGCCCACAAGACCCCACCCACACUGCUGCCCUUGGGGGGACCCACCUACGGGAGGGCCGCCCCUCCUCGGGCUGGUCCACGGUGACCCCUACUCUGAGAGCCCCUGGGUGCCCGGAAAUCACAUCUCCCACCCCGACGCCACAUCCAGCCCGUGCUGAAUGGACGAGGCCACCGGUUUUGUCUCCCGUCUCCAGCCAGGGGUCUCCCCUCUUCCUGCUGGGUCUCGGGGGGCAUAAGAAGACACUACCCAGUGUGCCUAAAACGUCUGCUUGUCCAGCCUCACUCGGUCCCUAGAAGAGUUUUCUGUAACCAGCCCCUCCCCACCGCCAACACUGUCCCGCUCUGCAACCUCAGCCGAGGCCUCUCAACGUCUUUUCUCCCAAUGGCGUGGAUUUCGGGGGCCGUCCCCCACACGGGACAGCAAUGAGCAAUUCACACGGUGCCCGGCGAGAGGCAGGCCUCUGUCCCAGGAUACCGGCUCGCAGGCGGGGGUGUCUUUACCUGCUUGUCACGGCCCCAAUAGGAGCCACCUUCCUGCCCACAUGCCUCUCCCCAAACCCAAAUCAAGCUACCGAAACUGAUCUCAGAGAGACGGCAGCGAGUGAUGGCUGGAGCAAGAUCUUAAUUCUCUGCUCAGGCAUCGAACCUGGGUAGCCUGGGUGAAAACCGGGAAUCCUAACCACUAGACCAGCUAGAGGCUAAAAGCAGAAUUGCCCUGAUUCUUGCCCCCUGCUGAAAGCAAGAAUGUCUCAAGGAGGCAGAGACUGUGAAAGCAGGUGUAAUGUUUAUGGUUAGAGAGACGGCGCGUGCGGGGGUGCACGCAGAGAAAUGGUUUACUUAAGGCAGAAGCAAGACAGUAACACCCAAAAGGGGGGUGCAGGUGUGGGUGUCCCCCUCAACGAGGAGUGCCCAAGAGGUGAUUUAAACCACUCAUACGGGGAGUUCCCAUCGUGGCGCAGCGGAAACGAAUCCGACUAGGAACCAUGCGGUUGCGGGUUGGAUCCCUGGCCUCGCUCAGUGGGUGAAGGAUCCAGCGUUGCUGUGAGCUGUGGUGUAGGUU